rnacentral:rRNA from 1 species
CAGCAGCCACGGGAAUACGAAGGGUGCAAGCGUUAAUCGGAAUUACUGGGCGUAAAGCGUGCGUAGGCGGUUUGUUAAGUCUGUUGUGAAAUCCCCGGGCUCAACCUGGGAAUGGCAAUGGAUACUGGCAAGCUAGAGUGUGUCAGAGGAUGGUGGAAUUCCCGGUGUAGCGGUGAAAUGCGUAGAGAUCGGGAGGAACAUCAGUGGCGAAGGCGGCCAUCUGGGACAACACUGACGCUGAGGCACGAAAGCGUGGGGAGCAAACAGAAUUAGAUACCCGGGUAGUCCCUGUCUCUUAUAC